CGCUGGCGGGUCUUGUCCGGCAGCCGAAGCUGGGCGUGGUGGUAAUCAGAAAUGAGUCUGGUCUGCGGAGAUCUGGGGUUCGUGGAGAAAAGUAACUGGCGCAGAAAAUCAAUCACUUCGUGUGCCGUUGUUAGUGGGGAGGCAGUGUCUCCGGGGAGAAAGAUGAAAGCGCUCGGUCUCCCCGCCGUGACCAUCAUCGGGGAACCGCAUUUUGCGACGAGAGUGGGAAAGUUUCGUGCAGAUGUGGUUGGCAGUAGUCAGGCUUGCCCCUGGGACUCUCUUCUGUGGAUUUUCCCACCAGCCAUCUCUUCAACUCAUUCAUCAUGUUCAAAAGUUUCUGAGGUCCAAGAGGUACUAACUUGUUUUGAGGCAACCCAACACCAAGAAUGGUCUUCAGUGAAGGAGACAGAAAAAUGAGAAGGAAUAUGUGGGCAAAAUAAAAUGCUUUGGAAAAGAAGCAAGAGACAGAAGACCUACCUUCAGAUCAGUGCUUCAAAUCCUCCUUCUAGCAGCCUCUGAGGCACCAGAGGCUAAAGCUCGGGAAAAAGAACCUGAGUAUCUUUGAAUGUGUAUUGCUCUCAUGAAGUAAUUUACAAGCGAGGAUGUAUUACAACCAAUGAUUUUUCCGUUUAAAUGGAUGGUGACCUCCCAGCUAAACAUUCUUUUUGCCUAAUGGAAGCAGUCUGAUUUUUCAAAUUUUUAGUGUUGUUUCACUGGAGAAAUGCAACUCACAGUACAGUUAUUUUAUUCAUCAGGAAAUUAAUUAAUUUUCAUGUGGAAUCUCAGCUUUUCUAUACAUAUUUGUGCACUAGAGUUUUAAAUUUUAAGAUCAAAGAAGUCCCAAACCUUUCUUCUAAAACUGUAUUUUUUUCAUUGUAUGCAAAAUAGAUCACUAUUAUUUCUGUGCUAAUAUCUAUUUAGAAAAUCAUACUCUUUAGUAUAUCACAGCUGUUUACAUGAUUUUUUUAGAUCAAUCUUUCACUAUGAGAAGGAUGUAAAUGAUAAGCGUAUGCUUACUUAUAAUUCUUUUCUGAAAAAGGUAAAAUUAAGAAAAAAAAUGGUGUAUAUUCAUUUCAACAUACAUUAUGACUGAAACUGGAAUCUUGGAUAUAAAGCAUAACAAGAAUAUGAAACAGCAAAAUUUAAAGGGUCUAACAUUCUGGGCUUUGCAAGAAGUAUGAAACAUAUUGACAAUGAGUAAUUUGUAACCUUCUCUUGAUGAUUCAGUAAUGUAUUAUGUUACAAUAAGUUAGUAUACCUGCAGAAUAAGGAUGGGCUGGUUUUAAAAGUUAAUUUUGACUAAGCAUUUUUAAAAUGACUGUAUUCGGUGGUUUUGAACUGAAUAAUACAUAUUUCUUUCAAAUUUUCACUCAACUGAGAAAUGUUCUGGUUUCAAUAUUUUACCCUUCUUGUGGCUUUUGGGGUAUUCAUAUCUAGUGUUCUGUUCUAGACUAAUCUCCCUUGCACAUCGAGUCUACCUCUGCAUGCCGCAGCUUUAGCUGUAGCUCAUAGCAACAGUUACAGUUAAGGAUGCUUAAGAGCUUCUAUUCCAAAGCAACUUUUUAGUUUCUUCUAACUUUUUUUUACAUUUGUUCUUUGUUUCUUUGUUUCGUUCUUUCUUUCUUUCUUUCCUGACUGAAGGUAUUUAUAGAAUGACCUCAUAAAGAAAGAAUCUUUUCCAUCAUGGAAUACCCACCUACUACAUGACAAUACUCCUGAGAUAUAUACAAAGCUUUUCUUAUUUUUUUCCCUCUAUGUUUGUAAAGAAUAAUUAAAAGAUAUCCAUAAAGAACCCCUGCCUAUUUGCAAUUUAUAUACUCCAAACAGUUUGAAAAUGAUAUACAUCAGUUACCUCCUACUUUUACAGGGAAAAAAUAAAAUUACUUUCAACACAGCUGCCUUUAAAAUUGAUAUCCGAAAAUACACUUAUUUUCAGAUAGUUGGAAAAGCCAUGCUUAAACACUGUCCCAACACUAAGGCCAGGGAUAUUCAAAGUGCCUAUUGUUGGCCUAGUUUUUGGAAGGAGAUGGAAAUAGAAUCAGUCUUUUUAAAAUACACAGCCUAAAAAGCAGAUUUUUUUUGAUGUUAAAGCAUAUCUUUAAAGAGAAUAAAAGAGCCUACAGAUUGCUUACCCCUAUUUUUGUCAUGGUACAUUUACAGUCCAAUGCAAAGUAAACAAGAUGGUUACACUAGAUAACAAAAACAGUCUCUGAAUGCAGAAGUGACUAUCCAUGCUCCUCUUUCCUUAAAAAAAGCUCUUUCUCGUAUAAAGGUUUUAGCACCACUUUAAUUCUUGCAGUUAAUUUUUCCUUCCAGUUCAUAGGCCAAUCCCAAGAGGGAAAAAAUGUCCUCAGCUGUACCCCUUAUACAAGGCAGGCAGAUUUAGCAAGUCUUGAUCUGAGAAAGUACUAAUGCAAAUGCUUAAGAUUAAACGUGUGGUUAUGUGCAUUUCUGAAUUAAAAUCUGUGUCAGAACGUUUAUUUAGCUACAAUUCUGAUAUUAAGAAAAUCUUUCCAUGUUGGCUGACCUAAUACACAUAGCAGCAUUAUUUUGAAUGUUCCUUUUGUUUUAUAUAUUUUGAGUAAGCUACAUAGGAUAUGUAUAUAUUUGCAUGAGAGACAUAAACUAGCUCAUAAACAUUACCUGCUUUAUUUUCAAGAUUAUUUUUGCUAUAAUUACUGUGAUAAGAUAUGACUGUGACUGAGACCAGGUGAUACCUUCUAGAUACAGAGAUACAAAAGCUCUGAACUACUCGUACUUGUGAAUAGAUAUGCAAGGACAAGCUCUUAUAAGAUAUAUUUGAAACUAAUAAAUGCUAGUAUAAACCGUGUUCUUGGCACAUAUGCCAGCCCAUGCUAUUGUAGUGUGUCACUACAACAUAAAGGUGGUCAACACUUAAGUACCUCCAGCCAUAUCUGGCUCACGAGUGGAUAAAUGCACAAGUUGAACACAAAUAAGCAAGAUCAAGGAGUUAAUGUUCUUUAAAUCUCAGGUCUCCAGGAUGACUAGUUGCACGUGGCAAACUGUGAGUGUUCUCCACUGGUAUCUUCAGCUUAAUCCUAAGAACAGGAAAAUGUAAAACCCACUAAGACAUUGUGUAGCGUAAAGAAGUGAGUUAGCUUUAAAUGAAGUAUUUUUGGUACUGGCAACACUCAAGUUGUGAUAGCACGGAGCUUACUCUGUAAGAACUUUAUUCUGCUACGUGGGCAAGUUCAGCAGCCUGUCCUGCACUUCAUGCUAUUGUGAAGUAGCUGCUACACAAUAUUUUAUGUAAUACUUCUUGUGCAGAAGGUAUCCAACAAAGCAGAGGCACAUGGCAAAAAGCACUUCACUGGGCUAGAGCUGCACUACACCAUAUAAUGUAAUAAAAUAUACUUCAAAAAUGUAAUAAUGUAUGUUAUAUGCUAUAAUACAAU